rnacentral:lncRNA from 10 species
CUCUCACCAGUGCCCUAUCCUGCUGUGGCUGAGCUGGUAUCCAAGAUGAAAGACAAAGUCCUCCUAACUCUUCCAUCUCCUCUCCUGAAGCAAAAGGAAGGGGUCACUUUUGGAGCCAUGAGCUAUGCAACCCGGGGUGGGUGGGGGGUGAUGCCAGCACUCCCUUAGACACCCCAACUGGUGUCUCAGUAGGUCACGUGCUUCCCCUAGUCCACUGUUUCUGGGCCCAGUUCAUCCCAGGAAUUGCCUAGGUGUUACAAUCCUUGUGGCCUAGACUGCCUUUCAAGUGUAUCUGGGGCUCCAGAGUACUUUAGUCCAAGGUGAUGAGGCUUGCGGGAACUGAAGUUCGUACUGCUGGGAUCAGAGAUUCCCCUCUGUCUAGGGUUUAAAUGUUUCCUCUGUGGGCAUGUGUCAGCUUAGUUUGGUCUGGUUUUGCUUUCUCUUAUAACAAGGGUAGCACUGAAUUCAAUGCCUCACAAUUGCUGGUUUCAGUGCCUCUCUCAGAGAUAUGAAGUUAAAACCAGUCUCUUCUGGAAUGGAAGAUCUAACUGUGUUUGGCUGCUGUUUCUUCACGAGCUCCUGGGAUCUGGACUCCCCAAGUCAGAAGUGUAAGGGAGGAACAGUUAGAGCAAAACAAAAUGACAAAUACUGCACACACCCAAGAGUAAGAGGCUCUAGUGCCAGCCCAAAUAUUUAUACACCAGCCAGCCUCCAGAAUGGGACAGAAGAACCAAUGAAUACCUUUUCCCUGGGGGAUCAUGACAGAGGUCAAAACUGUAGAAUGUUCAGCUCUGAUGAGAUAAACUGAGGCUGCUUGGGAGAGAAUUUUUGGAUCUGCCUGGAAUUUGUGCAAUCUGAAAUGAAGACCAUGGAGGCUCUAUGUGAACCACGAGACUAGAAAGAAUGAUGCCCAUUCUCCUGCUUCCAGGAAGGACUGUAUUUUUACACAUAGUAUUUUUGUUCUGACUAUGACAAAAAUACAUACACAUUUUGGAAAGUACAGAAAAUAAUAAAGAAAAUGAAAACAAUCUACAAUUCUACUACCCAAAGAUGAUUACGAUUGGCAUUUGAAAUUUUCUGAGUUUACAAAAAAAUGCCUUUUAUCCUGCCUUUUAAAAAAUGCAUAGCAUUAUAUCUGAA